rnacentral:rRNA from 1 species
UACGAAGGGGGCUAGCGUUGUUCGGAAUUACUGGGCGUAAAGCGCGCGUAGGCGGACAUUUAAGUCAGGGGUGAAAUCCCGGGGCUCAACCCCGGAACUGCCUCUGAUACUUGGUGUCUAGAGUUCGGAAGAGGUAAGUGGAAUUGCGAGUGUAGAGGUGAAAUUCGUAGAUAUUCGCAGGAACACCAGUGGCGAAGGCGACUUACUGGUCCGAUACUGACGCUGAGGUGCGAAAGCGUGGGGAGCAAACAGG